ensembl:lncRNA
AUAAAAUUCCUACUAAUAACAAUGAAAUAAAUUUCUGCAAGUAUAAAUGUGAUACAGUUUAACAAAACCCAUUGUUCUGUACCUAUAAAUAGAUUUUCAAAAUGUCAUAAAAAGUGCAGUUAUGAAUUGUUAACAUGUUAAUACACAGUUGCUUUAUUUCAAAUGUGUUUGCCUUGACUCACCAACAGUUCCUUCUGUAGCUGUUCAAAUAAUAUUACCCAUCCCUCCAAAAAAAAAAAAAAGAGGCAUUAAAGCACUAGAAUAUUACACAUAAACUGAUCCAUUGAGGUCAGCUUUAGUCAGAAUUGUAAAAUCAGCAACAUAAGAAAAAUAAAACCUAGUUAUACAUACAAAAAGCUUUCAUGGGUUCUAUACUCUUCUUAACUGCUGACUCAUGUGGAGGGCAUAAUAGUUGAAAAGGCUUAUAUGGUUAACUAACUUAGACUACAUCUACAGCAGGGUCUGAUUUGCCAGAACAAGUUUAAAGUGGCUGUUUAUCAAGUUUGUUGUCUUCAGAAUUGAAGCUAUAAAUGUAAGAUCGCCAUUUGACACUGAAAAUCGUGUGAAUCCUAAAUUGCAUCAAUGAUCUAUUUGAUAAAAGCUUAUUCUAAUUGAAACCUUAUAUAGUAAGAGACUGAUAGAUAUAUAGCAGUCUUAAAGAUCACGUCAUCCGCCUCACGUUAGUCCAAAGUCACGUGCUUCGUAAAAAAGAAAAAAAUUACAGUAACAAAGCACAGGACGACAAAGGCAAAACAUCACAGCUUCUGAUUACAUGGAAUAAAAAGUACCAAGGAACGCAAAAAGAUAAUUCUGUAUUAAUACUGAUGAAUUAAAGAACUAUAACAGACAUUUCACAGCAUGCUACAUAUAUCACUCACAACUUAAGGAUAAAAUGAUGUCUAAAAUUGAAAGAUAAGAAGUUGGCAAUCUGAUUUCGUGUGCAAUUCAGCUACAAAGUCUUAAUAUAUACAUUCAUGAUGUAGCUGCCCUGCAAAAUCAGGUUCUUUUUAAAAAAGAGAGAUUUCAAGUUCAAAUCCUAUUUCAUAAGCUAAAGGAUACAUCCAGUUGUUCCAUGACCAGGAAAGUUAUUUUCAGGGUUGAAGGAGCUAAUCCAAGUAGCAAGGCCAUGCUCCACGCUGACCUGACAGGGUUCUGUGUAACCUUGCUCCAACUGUGCAUGUGGCUGUGAGUAUUCUAUCAGCAUGGAGAAGAUGCCAAACUGGCUUGUGGUUUGCUUUCUUUGUCUAUCUUAUCUGAUUAAAAAGAGUAGAUGUGAAAAGAGAAAAGAGGAAGGGAAAAAAAGGUAUUUUCUUUCCAGGGAAGAUAUAUAGAUGUAAAGGGAAUAUCUGCACUAGGUAUAGAGUUGGGAUGACUUCCCUUGGUGAACAAGGGUAGCAUUUAACUCUUUCCCUUUAUUUUAGAGAAUCAGUAAAAUUCAGGAAGGAGAAAACAAGUCUCAACAUUACAAAGGAAAUUUCUUGGCUACCAACUGAUGAAUUUCCUUGAUCCUACUUUUUGAUCCUUCCUUAUCAGAUUUGGGAAUCAGUCGACAACUUGUAAAGACUGAUUAACUUAAAAGGAGAUGUAUAAUCAGUUUCAUUCAGUAGGUGUCAUAAUGCAUAAACUUAAGCUAAUCAGGAUUGAUAAUACUUCAGCAUUAAAGACUAGAGAGCCUCUCUCCUUUUGAUUUUUUUAUGAAGUUAAACUGAGGAAUGCAAGAAAAUAGACUGCUUUAGCAAAUUUAUAUACCCAAAAUUACAUUUAUCAUAGUUAGACUUACUAACAUUUGAUGUUGUACUAUGAGCUGUAAAAUAGGG